UUAUAAAACAACAAUAACUGUAGCUUUGUUUGUUUCCUCAUCACCACUCCAUUUUUGUGAACUAUGUUAAGGUCUCACUUAAAGACUGGAGCUACCACAACAAUUUUCGUUUUCAACUUGAAAUUGUUCGCACAAGGACCAUGUUUAUGAGGACUUUCUUGCUAUUAUAGUCAUCCUAUCAGGAGGAGCCCCAGACUUCUAUGGUUUUAUGUUAUUUUACAGAUUGAAAAAAGUUCGUUCCGAUCGAGGAAGCUUCUUCAGAGGUGAAGUUAAUUGACUCAAGUUAUAUAUAAUUACUGUGUAAUUCUUUUCUCUCUCCUUUCAGUUGAAGUGUUAGUUCCUGAAUUUGUAUGGAUGUGGAUGUGACAUCCGUUAAGAUUAAAUUGCUUAAUAAUUUAAAAUCAAAGAUAUUAUCCAUAAAGUAUACAUUGUAGGACCUUUAUCUGAAAUUUAAUAAAUCUCAAGAUUCGAGAAUAAUUCUAUUACAUGCAGGUUGGUGGUCUAGCAGUUGUAUGUGUUGUAUGUUUUACAUCAAGUGCUUUGGUAGAUCUUCUUACGGAUAUUCCUAUUUCUUAUAAUUGGCGCUUCAAGAGAACAAAUGGAGUAGAGGCAUCAGUCAUUUUAUGUUUGUACUUCUGCAUGGGUAUGUCCU